rnacentral:tRNA from 1 species
UGGUGUAUAGCCAAAUAGGUAAGGCAUUGGUUUUUGGCGCCAUCAUAUAAAGGUUCGAAUCCUUUUACACCAG